CUUUGUCUCUUUGAAUUGGUUAUAGUGCCUGGAGUGCCCUGGCACUGUCCCUCCAUUCAGUGUUGCACCAUGUUUGUGCAGUAUGCCACAAAAUAAGAGUCCCUGGCCACCCACAGUCCGGUCCCUUCUGUAUGUGUAGCUAAGGCAGAGAUUACACACUUCCUUGUUGUCAUACCCAUUCAUACCGUCAGUUGGAGCUCUGACAGGUUAAAAGCAGUCAGCUGACACUCUCAGCCAAUCACAGCUGCCCAUUGCUGCUCAGGGUAAUACUUCCUUAUUAGCCAAAGCAGCACAGAGGAGAUGGACUGCCGUGGUCUCUUGUUUAGCAUUAAAAC
rnacentral:lncRNA from 1 species